AAACCGGGAGAUAGCUGGUUCUCCCCGAAAGCUAUUUAGGUAGCGCCUCGUGAAUUCAUCUCCGGGGGUAGAGCACUGUUUCGGCAAGGGGGUCAUCCCGACUUACCAACCCGAUGCAAACUGCGAAUACCGGAGAAUGUUAUCACGGGAGACACACGGCGGGUGCUAACGUCCGUCGUGAAAAGGGAAACAACCCAGACCGCCAGCUAAGGUCCCAAAGUCAUGGUUAAGUGGGAAACGAUGUGGGAAGGCCCAGACAGCCAGGAUGUUGGCUUAGAAGCAGCCAUCAUUUAAAGAAAGCGUAAUAGCUCACUGGUCGAGUCGGCCUGCGCGGAAGAUGU
rnacentral:rRNA from 1 species